GCCCUCUCAGGGUCACACCUGGAGAGUUUCCAGUAGUCUACCAGUCUUGACUACAGGAGGGAGAGUCAAGCAGAAGCAUAUCCAUUCCAUUUCUAGCUUAAUCAGUACCUAGCAAGUGGAAGGCAAGCUACUACAAGU